UACGUAGGGUGCGAGCGUUAAUCGGAAUUACUGGGCGUAAAGCGUGCGCAGGCGGUUCGUUAAGUCAGAUGGGAAAGCCCCGGGCUCAACCUGGGAACUGCAUUUGAAACUGGCGGGCUUGAGUGUGGCAGAGGGGGGUGGAAUUCCGCGUGUAGCAGUGAAAUGCGUAGAGAUGUGGAGGAACACCGAUGGCGAAGGCAGCCCCCUGGGUCAACACUGACGCUCAUGCACGAAAGCGUGGGGAGCAAACAGG
rnacentral:rRNA from 1 species